GAGCGCGCGAGCGGACAUGACGUGUGGCUGUCGUAAAAACCCUAUUUGUAAACAACCAGCCCUUUAACUCGGGGCUGCGUCAUAAACACGGCGCGCUUGGAAGACCACGAUGUCAUCUUCCUUCUGUCAGGAGGAUCCAAGUGAAGCUACAGGAGUUUCAUUAACGUCAACAACUUGGACCAAACAGUUUGUUUUGCUUGAUGAAGAGCAGGAAGGGCAGCCUGGAGAGAAAGAGAAGCCGGGUUGAGCCCACUACCAUCAUCCACGUACCACGAGGAAGAUGAGGGAGAGAAAUGAUCCUACCAUUAAAGAGACUGUGAAAAGAACGUUGAGAACAUCACCACUCUACAGGAAGACACAGUCCAGUAAUGGGUGUCAGAAGUUCAGUAGUGAACGACAGGUACUGUGGGAAAAUGUGUGUCAUUGUUGUACAAUGUCCUUUGACUCUGUUUAAACAAGGUCAACACAAAAAGGUUUGAUUGUAAACUGAUAUCGGUAUGAAUUCAUGUUAUUCUCCUCGUCAAAAGAAACAAACAAUCCAAAUUACCUGCAGAAAGCCCUUGAUGGACGCUUCAGCUGCAUCGUCAGACUGGCAGUACUGAUGCAUUUACUGAGAGGGGACGUGAGGGCCUACUCUGCGUGCUCAGAGUUCAAGCCCAGCAGGCUGCAGCGGGCCUGACAUAUUCUGGAACAGCAGCACAGUCUUUGGAUGACUCCUCUGAAGAUGAAAACAUGGCGAGUUCUUCUCAAGAGAAGCAGUACAGGUGUGCCUCAGCUCCACGGUCCCUCCUGCAGCCUCCGCUCCUGAUGCUAACCUCAUGUCUCCAUCACACCAAGCAGCAGACCUGGAUUGACAGACCUUUCUCCAGAGCUGCCCCCUCCCUCUGAAACCCCCCUCUCCAAAACACUAUUUGUGUAGUUUUUAAAGUAUUUUUUGCAUGAGAAUUGUUGAUCAUAACAUUUCCAGCAGAUGCCUUAAUAUAAUGUUUGUGCACA